UUUGUUCCUGACUUCACAUUUUCUGACAUUAUGAGAUCAGAACAGGGGAAUUCUUCAUGAGAGCGCGCUGAUUCACUCUGCAGAGCAGUGCCUGACAGCACCUUCUACGGGCCAGAUGUCUCCCAGAUGUUGAGGACAGAGUGGGGAGCUAGACAGAGAAAAUCUCAGCCUCAUGGAGGCCACAUUCCAAUGAAUGUCUUUGAUUUGUGUUAACAGAGCAGAGUGACCUGUUCCUGGUGAGCAACAUUUUGCCAGAUAUGAGAAAACAUGUUUUCUACAAAGGCACCCUGGAACUCAGUGACAGAUCUUCAGGAUCGAUGUGGUCCUCUGACAGCAAAUGGAUUGUUCCAGCAGAGAUCUUUAAUGAAAUUGUUCACAUUAUUAAGGAACCACCACCUCCAGCAUAUUACAAUGACAAUGGCAGGACCUUGUGAAGACAGAAAGCAAAGCAACUUUCCUGCUCACUUCUUUUUGAAAGCACCAACCUCUAGCAGCAAAGCCUUCUUGUUAAUUAGUUGUUAAUUAUUGAGACAGCACGUGAAAUGUUUAUCAAAGAGCUGUACCACUGACAAAGAACAGAACUCAGAGCAAGAGACUGAAUUGAAGCAUAAUAAAAGGAACGAGUAAGCUUUUACACAGUUGGCUGGCACCAAGGAAAUUCUAGAAAUGUACCCCUCUGUUUGGGAAACACAUGUAAUAGGACAUAAAUGAACUACCCAAGGUCACACUUCUAGUUGGUGUCCCAAGAAUCAGUUCAGUCCAGAGAACUCAUCACUACCAGACCUUGUGGAAAGAAGCUGUUUGGAAAGCAUUGCUGGAUUAUGUCAAAUUUAUGCUGAAGCUCUAUGGAGGCCCUAUGCAGCAUGUGAGAAUUGAAAGGAAAGAUGCAGCCUAUUAUUGAGGAAAUCCUAAGUUCCCUACACUGACCGUAUCAUGUGGUGCCAGGGGUUCAGCCUCACCUGACUCAGCCAAUACUUGUCUCCUUGUCUUAUUCCUCUUCCAAGUUUUACUGCAUGGACUCAGUGGUUCUCAGACUUCAGCCUGCGUAAAGAUCACCUGGAGGACUGGUGUAAAAUGCAGAACCCAGCCUUGCUCCCAAAGAUUCUGAUUCACUAGGUCUGGGGUGGGUCCCAGGAAUCUGCAUUUUUAAGAAACAUUGUAAGAAUUUUUAUUGCAGGCAUUCUAGGACCAUGCUUGAAAAACUCUAAUCUGUCCUCGUUUUCUCACUAGGUCCCUUGGAGUGAAACAUGUCCCUGUUUCUCCGAAUUAUGGGCUUUAUCUCUCCAUCUGGGUGAUUCACUUAUGUAAUAUCGUGACUGAUGCCCCUCCUCACCCAACCUGACUCCCAGAAUUCACCUCCCCUCACCUUGCCUCUGGCAGGGAGGAUGGAGGGAACCUGGGGAAGAGCAGACCCCCGUCAGAAUCUGUCCACCGGUGGAACCUCUCUUCUAGACUCACUUGAAUUGCCUGUGAACAUUCCUUUGAAUGGUUUUGGAAAACAGUCCAGACCAUUUGGAGCCAGUUCUGGUGAAAUGAGUUUACGAUCAAGUUCGAGAAUUACUAUUCAGAAUCAAAAGCUAUGCCUAACUGUAAUACAUAUCAUGACUGACAUUUUGGCUUUAGUUAUAAAUGCAUCUAAGGUACCAGAUGGAGAGUUUCAGAAACAUUCUCUGCAAUGAGGGUGACUAUCACAGCCAGGCUGCCCCAAAAUGGACACACAGGCUGCUUACAACUUCUUUCUGUUUUAAUUGGUUGGGCAGCCAUUUUUAUUGUGGAGUCUCUCUUUUGAUUGGUUGGUACUUUACUAUAACAGUUGAUAAAUACUUGCACUACUGGAAUCAGUAUAUAAUUUUUCUCUUGAAAGACAAACUCUCUCAACUAUCUCAAUUCUGAGUGUUUUUUAAAAUUUCAGUCUCGGAAUUAGUAGUCAUACUUUGGAAGUCAUGUAAGUCAGCGGUCCCCAACAUUUUUGGCACCAGGGACCGGUUUCAUGGAAGACAAUUUUUCCACAGACUUGGUGGGGGAGAUGGUUCAGGUGGUAAUGUGAGCGAUGGGGAGCGAUGGGGAGCGGCAGAUGAAGCUUCGCUCGCUCGCCCACCGCUCACCUCCUGCUGUGCGGCCCAGUUCCUAACAGGCCUCGGACCAGUACCCGUCCGCGGCCCAGGGGUUGGGGACCCCUGAUAUAAGUCAUAUGGCUCACAUUCUAAGUAAGGGCCACACUAAGCCUGGUUAUUAUUUGUCCUAUAACAUUUAUUCCAGGCAUUAAUUCAUUAUAGACUCAAUGCAUGAAAAUCUCCAUGCUAUUGUGCUUACUGUUACAGGCAUUGUCUUCUAAACCAUGCAUAAGGCCGAUGAUUUAGACCCCAAAUACUCCGGCAAAGGAUGCCUUUAACUUCCUUGGCCACUUCCUUAGCUUGGUUUCCUACAGAUGGUACUCUGCUGAUUCAUUUCCUGAAGGGGCACUCGAGUUGAUUGUUUUAGUCUUUCGAAGAAUGUUAUAAAAUGCACAGUUUGCUUACGAUUGAGUGAUGAGGGGGUGGGCUGGGGUUACAGCUGAGAAAGAUCACUUUAGCUUAUAAUAAGAAACGUAUGAUUUAGGUUCACUGACUAGGCUGAGGAAGUAUUUAUAAAUACAGUCAGCUCCCUGUAUCUGUGGGUUCUGCAUCCUCAGAUUCAACCCACUGUGUAUCAAAAAUAUUUGGAAAAAAAUUCCACAAAGUUCCAAAAAGCAGAACUUGAAUUUGCCAUGCACCUGCAACUGUUUACAUAGCAUUUACAUUUUAUUAGGUAAUAAAAUUAUAAGUAAUAUAGAUAUGAUUAUAAGUAAUCUAGAUAUGAUUUAAAAUACACGUACUGGAGGAUAUGAAUAGGUUAUAUGCAAAUACUACACCAUUUU